ACUAACAUCUUAAUUUGGGUGUUGGUGUUCCUCUCCCAUGUUCAGGUGCCUAAUAUGGAUUCUUAUCACCCCAAAACAGUGAGCUUGGAUCCCAGCCCAGCAUGCGUGGGCACUGGCAGCACUUGGAUAUUUAUAGGGAUUUCUACUUCCUUCUUUUCUUUGGGCCACUUUCUUACUACAAGAAUUCCUGAUUUCUUCCAUGCACCAAUGAAUGCAACCCUUCUAGGGUGGUGUCUGGGCAGGGGAUGUUAUGUAUGUACCUUCCCAGCUGCCAGGGCCAGUGCAAACAAGCAUAGCACAGCACUGGCCUGCAAGGCACUGAGGGGAAAAAAAUGUACCACCUUUUUCACACCCUUAGAUCUAGUUUUGGGAGAUUACUCAGCCUUGUUGAUUUAUUGUGUCAUUAUUAAACUCGGCUAUCUUGACAUCCCAAGCACCAUUACAAUGUGGUUAGAGAGGGAGAGAGAGUCAAAUGCCCUGAACCUUUUUCUGAUUGGUAAUUUCCUCUGGAUCUACAGAGUGGCAGAAGGGUGGAACUUUCAAACAGUACUGUACUGAUUUUGUUUUGAUCUAUUCUUUGAAAGGUGAAUCAAUAAAAUCUGAUUCUUACAGAAAUCUUUAAAUUGCCACUUGAAGUUUCAUCUUCCUUCCUAGGUGCUCAUGGUAGAGAAGGACAUCAGCAGAGGUAGCUGCUUGACAGGUGCUCAUGUGCAGAGCAGCUCAAAGCACUUGCUGACAGACCAGCCAGCUGACAAUGGGAAUGCAGGGCAGUAAAUUCCCUUUUUCUUUCCCUUGCUGGUGAUUCUUUCUAGGUUUCUCUGUUCCACUCAGAUGUCAUUUCCCUCAAAAAAUUGUAAGAAUCUGGUAACUCUGCCUCAUUCUGAAAUUUCAGUUAAAAUCUGUGAGUAUGUCUCUGUUGGGAGCUCAGCACCAGAAAUGUGAUUUUAGAAGCUUUGUUUCCUUUGGAAGCCAGAGGAAUAAUGUCAAUAUUAGACCUGAACUGCUGUAGUCAAGACUUGGGACUAUGGGGAAUGGAGCAGAGCCCUGAAUGCAUGGCUGGAGAAGGAAAACCUGCAGUGGACAUAUUUGAGCAUUUCCUGUCAGAAGGCUCUAAGAGACUGGAUAAGGAGCCAUUACUUGAAUGAGUCCAUAGCAUCCUCUGUGUCUCAUUAACAGAUGGUUCUAAAAGGCAACAGUGGAAAUGCAAACUCAUGCAUGUUUGUGCUUGCUCUGCUUGUGCCUCUCCUGGCAGCACUUGCUGGCAUAAUCUGUCAGGAAUUAACCUUUUGCUUGAGGUAUUGUUACACAGGCUGGUAUAAUUCAUCCCAUUGCCUGUGACAAAUCUCUGUCUCACCCCUCCACACGCUUCCAACCUAGAAGGAAUUAUGUCAGAAUGGUAGAGAAAUGCUGGAUGUAGGAUCUCACCUUUGUAAUGGGCAAACUUUCUUCUCCCACUCUAAGUUUUUCUGUGCUUUCAUUGCCAGGAUUGUCCACACAAUCCUCUACCCCAAUUACCCAUUGAUUAGGGCUCCUCUGGUAAUCUGCCAGAUGCAGGUUUGUUACCAACAGAUGGCAGAAAGCAUUUGAGGUAAUGAGAGAAAGGAUAAUGAUUGCUGAUCUGCAUAAUAAUCAGCUUGUGAACAGGUUUCAUGGUUUUUUUCCAUUUCCACUGGCUCAAAGAUUGCACUGUCAGACAACCAGGCACCUUCUCUUGAGUUAAAGAAAUAGUAAGGGAGGAACCAAUUUCUUCCAGCUACUGUUAAGAUUUCUGGAGGUACACACACACUCCACCACACAGAUUAAGAUUUUAGCCAGAGUCAGAGACGGCACCAGGAUUGCUAGGAAUGAAUGCUCAGCCCUCUUGUGAUCAAGACCUUUAACUGACCAAUCUGGUCAGAAAUACUUUCAUUUUUCUGUUUUUUGAGACAAUUUCCCCCACUUGUACCACAAGGCAAGAAGAUCCCCAUCUCCCGUGGACCAGCAUCACCUUUGCACUGUCUAAUACCUAGUCUGAAAAAAAAUACUUCCCACUUCCCUGUGUUUUGGAGUUCUUCAAACAAAUUCUGCAGCUUUGCACAUUGACACAGCCUCAUACAAGUCUACAUCUAAGCUACUUCGGAGUCCUUGCAGGAAGAAGUCUUCUCUGGAACCCUCUAGAGCAGUGUUACAGGAGUUAUAUGCUUUAAAACACCAGUUUCCUGUGCUGCACAAGGUCUGUACAGAUUUUCACUGUUUGAAAUCUACAGGGUGCUUGGACUCUAACUGUCCCUAUCUGAAAUGAGCCAUAUAACACUCACUCAAAAAUCAUUUUGGUGCAAUUUACUGUGACUUUUGGCAAAGGAUUUGGAUUGAAGAACUUUUCUCAAAAAAACCAGCCUUACACACAUGGGUGCAAAUGCUGGGCUGUUCUCCAGGUGGACUGGAAGACAUGGCAGACAUCAAACACCAUUUUUUCCCAUUUCCAUCAAACACCUUUGCUUUGUGAAAUCCCUUUCUUGGUUUAAGUUCUAGAUGGAGAUUUUUGAGAUUCAGGCUUGAUUCCAUAGAAUAGUAAAUGCAGAUUUUUCCCUGAUUAACCUUUCUGUUUACUCUGGGUGCUGAUAAUGCAGCAGCCUCCUGCCAGUUCUUUGCAAGGGUGGUAUUUAUCACAUUCUCAGCUGUAUCACUUGUCACUAUGAAUUUUAGCAUCUGAACCUUACAACACAAUCACUAUCUACUCCUGUCCAUGUGUUGCAGCUGUAUCCUCCCUCUCCAGGAGAGGGAGAAUGUUGGUUUUUUUUGAGCUCAUACUCUAAAGGACAAGGAUUUACUAUUAAGUCUUGAGGCCUUGCUACAGACAUUGCUGUUGGUUACAGGAUUUUGCUGUCCCUUGCCUGGUUUCUAAGGAAACAAUGCCUGGGCAUCUGAGCUUGUGCACAUUUGUUGUAUCCUUUUUUUUUUUAAGUGUCUGUGUUUUUUUCUCUGUGAUUUCUGAAUUUAUUUGCCGAAUGCUAUUUUAUUUGGCACAUACAUUUAUAGUUACUGACUUACUAUAAGAUUCCUGAAAAUAUAUGAUGGGGAAUGACUCUGAAGACAACACCCAUGGUGUAUGCUCAAAAUUAGAGAUACUAGAGAAUCUAUAUGAAAGAAAAAGAGGGGAGGCUGUGGCCAGAGGAAAAGCUGCUUCUGAUGCUGGAACUUAUUAGACACAUGAGAGUUCAAAUGCUAAUUCAUACAACAGCCAUCUUUAAUUUGACUUCUGCAAUUGUUAGUGAAAACUAGUCACAGUAGUCACUGUGAGUGGAAGAAACCCCAAGUUCCUUGUAUUUCUUAGAGACUGUCUAUGACUGUCCUAAUUUAGCACCACGGCAACGCUACAGGCCAGCCUUGUAGAUGCCUGCAGGAUACUUAUUAACAUGUUCUAUUUAUUUUCUGGAAAGAGAAUGGCUGAACCAUGUCCUGCAUUAGAGAGUGAUGUUUGUGAAGAAAGAUGGAGCUUUUAGCCAUUCUGUUGAACAGGUGACCCCUGAUUAAGUUGGGUCUUGCCCAGAAGACCUGCAGGGAGAAAGAAAAGCCUGAGGGAUAGACUUCACAUGCAUCUGAGCUGGCAUUUGAUUCUUCUGGCUUGUGGAUGACACCAGUGGGCAAUAAGAUCUGACAAGGCAGGAUCUCUCUUGGUGGAAACAAUAAUCAUGACAAAUGGGAGUCAACUGCGAGACUGUGUGUAUCCUGACAGCAGCAUGCUGGGUGAAAAACAGACUUCUUGGAACUGAUCAGAGUGCUCCUGCCAGCUGCAUCUACGUCCUGGGAUCAGCCAGAAUGCCAAGAGCAGCUGAUGUGUUUGAGCACAUAUGCACCCCCCAGCAGAGGAUGGGAUGCGGUGCUGCGAAGUUCCACAUCACCAAAAAAUGAGAUGCUUCCAUUCUGUGUAACUAAUCUUAUGUCAGACAGGAGGGAUAAAGGGAAAUGUGUACACCAAGCACAGGUGUGGAUUUGCUGAGAGAAAACACAGGAUCCUGGGGAAUAGUUUUGAUGGCUCCUAUUAAAAAGUUUCACUGUGUGGGGAAGAACCCAAUACCCAUCAAGUCAGAAGUGGUUUGUGAUGAGAGUUCGAAGGGGCUUUCUCAUUUUGGAGGAUACAUCCCAAAGUAGCCUUAAAUGAGGCAUCCAGCUCCAUCAGGUGAAUUUGUACAUGAGGAAUGUCACGGAGCCAGGCUCAGACACUGGCAGGUCUAGAGCCAACUGAAUCCAUCCAGAGCACUGUGGUGCAAGGGGAGCCCCGAGAGGAUAAAUGACACCAUUCUGCACAGCCACCAACUGCUGAUUCAAAGGUUUGACAAUCAGAUUUAUGACUCCAACUGCCCAUCCUGUUCCCAUGCCAGAAGCUGCCAUCCCCACCAUGACAUGUACCUGCUUCUGCACUGGGAAACAUCAUGUCUUAGCUCAACCCUCCCACCAACAGCCUCGGGACCUGGAGAGGAGUUGUGGCACCGUGUUAGGCACAGGGCUGCGGCAGAGGAACCGGAGAGCGAGAACAGCUAAAGCUUCUCUGGGCUGUGAUUCCAUGCUAUACACUAGGACUGAUCACAAAACCUUUGCUUACUUCUGAAGCUGAAGCUUUAGGAGAGGGAAAUCCAGCUGUAGCUAAUCUUUCCUGGCUUUCUAAUGGCAACAGUAUUGAUUAACCUUGAAAGAAUGUCUGAAAAUACAUAGAAGUAAUGAGCUUACAUGGUACUUCUGGCUGAAAAUUGGGCAAAACUCACAGGUGUCAUUGUCUAUUUCAUCCCAUAUCAAUUUAAGCAGCUUGACAUGAAGUCUCUGGAGGAAUGAAGCUGCAGAGCAGAGGCACCAGACUUUUCAUAGGAAAACACAGGGAUUCAAUCUACAGGAACUCCACAAUUUUUCCAAGCUAACACUUAUUAGAAAUAUUUACCCAGACUGCCUGCCUCUUACCAAUGAAAGAAAAUAACAAUUUCACCUUACAGUUUUUCUUAUGGCCAGUAUAAGUCAUCAUUGUUCCCUGACUGCACUAAGGGACAAUAUUUUACACCCAGCUUUUCACUUGGGUUUCCAGAGUGGCCAGCAUGGGGUCAUGAAUUGUUAUCUUCUUAGCACUGAUGAAUAUUUUGUAGCCACAGCAGCAUUUCCAAGUUAACUGACUAAGACUGAAUGAAUGAAUUUGGGUUCAAAUGGAUUGUUCAUUGGUAUCCCAGAGGAGACUCUGUCAUUUUUAGACCUCAGAGGAACAGAAUCUGGGGCAUUUGUACAUACUAUUCGGCAGACUGUCAGCAAGGCACACUAACAAAUUCAUAAGAGCUGCCCUUACGUGAACUAUUAGGAGGCCAAGUGAUUAAUAGGUUGAUUUGUUGAAACUGUUAACUUCCUAAAAUCAUGACUGAGUAGACUCAUUGCUUACGAUACAAGAAGCUGUUAUUAACAUUCCAAUAGCUGGUUUUCGUUAAAGACAUCUGUGACCUAGAACUGUGAAAGCCUGUUUGGUUUUGCAUUUGUGUCAUAAAUAAACGAAACCCUGCAUUUGUAUACCCAGCACAUGUUUCCUGUAAGGGGCUUUCUUUGAAAGCAGUCAAAGCAAAGCAAGUCAUUGCCUGGUGGCAAAGGCAGCUGAUGGGGUACCACUUUGCAGCUCAUGGGCUUUCAUCUCCGGUGAGGACAAUGUGACAAUGGGAGAUGUUGAGGUCCUUCAUGCAACGUUCCUUUUCCAUGCCAAGAUGGUACUCUGCUUUUAUGCAACAUGUGUACCCCAGGCACUUGGGAACUUGCUUUUUGGCAGCCAUUUUUCUAAUAUACAAAUACUGCAGAAGAAUUUCUCCCUACCCACCCACAAUGCCACAUAUGUGCUUUGUGCUUGUACCGCCUUCUCCAGCUGUUGUGGAAAGCAAACUGAAAUUGUAAUUACCUCUAAAAGAACUGAUCUUUUGAAACUGUCAGCAGCCUAGGAAAGAUUAUGAAAUAACAAAUGGCACAAAGACCCAGGAAAACACAAUGGUUAAAGACCUAUUUACCCUAGGCAACCUGAUUUUGGAAAACUGAUGAGUCGCCUAGUCUUAGAUCCAGAAAAGGGCUUGGGUCUGGGUAAGGAUUGGAGCCCUCAAGGGUGAAUCAUGUGUUGCAGAAAUCCCACUCACCUAAUGUAGCCAUGCCACUGAUGCUCUGAGGGCACUGUGCAUUCUGAUCUAUUUGUAAAAUAGCAGUUGUUAUACAAAGCACAAAUUGCUCAAUUAUCACAGUCUGAACCAUCCACCCCUCUUUCCACCCAGGAAUACUAACUACUUGAAUGCUGCACAUGUUGCCUGCUCUCUAGUAUUUAAUGAUUCCUAAUGAUUCCUUCCACAGGAACAGCUGGAGGAGUUUCUCUCUCUCCUGGACCUGCAUGUCUCAGGCAAAUGCUCCACCUCUUGGAGCAUUUGGAGAGGAAGGGCACUCUUAAACUCUUAGGCUGAAGCUGUUUCCCUCGUGUGACUAGGCAGAGACUGUGAUGAAUAGCAGCAUCACAAAUAAUUUAGGUCCUCCUACUUCAAAGGAAUUGGGGUUGGAAGAGUUUGGCUACUGAAUCCCCCUUCUUCCAGGAAUCUUCAAUCUUAGCCUGGAAUUAUAUGUGAUAAAGCAAGAAACAACCCAGAAAAAGAAAUUAACCAGAAACAAACCCAGAACCAGACCUAAGGACUUCACACUGUGAUCACAGGAGCUGGGAGAUCCUCACAGAGAUCUUUGGAUAGAACAGCUACCUCCUGCUCGGGCUGAAGGAGUGAAAUUCUCUCAUUGUGCCCACAGAGGAAUCGUCACAGCUUGGCUCUGCAUGGGGGGAAGUAGGAGAGCUUUGGGGGAGUAUCUGUUGUUGUGAAAGGAAAGGCAUUUUACAAGAAAUUGUCACCCUCCCCUGUGUUCAGGGAAUCUCUUGUUUAGGAUAGGAGGUUGGGACCCUCCAGGCUCUGUUAUACCAGGGCCUCUAUCUACACACUUCAAGAAUAUACAAACUGCACAGAAGAGAGUGGAUCCAUCGCUUGGGUCAAAAGGGGAAGAGCAGUAGCUGAGAGAACAAAUUUCUUGCAACACUGGGCAGGACAUGGAUGGGAAGCUGUUCUCCUGGUAUGGGAAGAUGUUUUUACUGAAAUAGAUGAGAGUGCCUUGAAUUUUCAAUUACCAAAACUGGUACUUGAACUGGUAAAUUACCAGGAAACUGGUUUCUUCAGCAGAUGGGAUGUCUCACUUCAUAUUCACUUUUGUUACGUCUGUAUUCAGAUCCCACUUAGUCUUCUUUUCGUGAAUCAUGUUUGUAAACUGUAUGGUUCAGCUAUUCAAACAUUGGACAAGGUCCUGCUGGUUUCUGUAUGCUGAAAGCCUGGAAACGAUUAAAAUAAUCUGAAAUGUCCAAAAAGAAACUAUUUUAUAACCUGAAAAUCCUACUGAUGCCUUCCAGGUUUAUCUAUCACAAUUCCUGCUUCCUUGAGGGCAGUUUUAGAUCACGUACUAAAAUGUUUCAAAUGAUCAGCACAGACUGGAGGUACCAUGUGUCAUAGCUAAAAGGUGCAGCAUGUUUUAAUUAUUGUUAUUUUGAGUGAGGAGAUGCCUGUGCAGCUCUCUCCAAACACAUGUGGGCUGUUUCCUUCCGUGCUUUCAGUGGACUGAUAACUGUAAAUAUGAUGAACAUGACAUCAGGGAUUCCAGGGAGGAGGAGAACCUCAAUUCAGGUUUGUCAAUCCUAUUCCACAGCCAUGAGCCAGAUUCCUGCUUUUAAUAACCACAUCAGGGAGUGAAUAUAGUCUGUGGCUGCUUACAAAGGACCAUCUCAUGAUGCUCUCAUCUGACAUCCUCCCCAUGGAUCAACUCUGGCCCAUGGGAAGCAUGGUGAUGAAGCAUGCACUCCACAAACUAAACAGCCACUGUUUAAAUUGCAAGGACUUGAUUCUUUUCUUACUCACAGCAGAUGGAGGAGAAAACACAACAGUCAAGGACUCAGUGUAAAUGGAGCUGGCAGUGCUUUCCUGAGACAGCAGACAGCUUGAAACAAUGGCUCUGAGAAGUGCGUCCUGCCUUCAUUCAUCGCACUAGGAGACUUGCCACCGAGUCCCAUGGAAACAAUGUGAACAGCCAUAUUCAGGGUUUCACUGCUGAUUAUUUUAGCAGACAGGAUGGGGACAGGGUAGGAAUGAAACCCAUGUGGGAAGUGGGAAUUGCAUGGUAGGAAGUAGGGAGACAACACAGAAAAAAAUCAGGGAAGGGGGAAAGAAACAAAGACAGGAGAGGGUGAAAGAAUAAACCCUCAAGGGCAGACAUGGUGGUGAUAAUAAGGUGCUUGCUGUUUAUCUCCAAGUGACACUGGACCCAGUUUGGCAGGAACAGAGCUAACAGGAUGAAGAUAACUGGGUCAUUUCUUCCUCAGUGAAUGUUUCACUUGUCUGCUGUGUCCAUAUGCUAUGGGGAGAAUUGUUCUCUGGCUGGGGGACACAAAUCACCCUUUUGGCAUAUGCCAGCCCAUGUGCUGUGAGAAAACAUCUCCUUUCAGCCAAACUCAGAUUAGGCACCUAGCAUCGGCCAAGAUGGGAAGAACCACCUCCUGGAGGUGUCUGUCCUCCUUCACCCUUCUGCAGGGAGACAGAGCUGUUCUCAGGAGAGGUGAAUCCCACCCCCAGGAUGGGUAGGA